CCCUUAGAUGUUCUGGGCCGCACGCGCGCUACACUGACGAAUGCAACGAGCUUAUAACCUUGGCCGAAAGGUCUGGGUAAUCUCCAAAUUUCGUCGUGAUGGGGAUCGAUUAUUGCAAUUAUUAAUCUUCAACGAGGAAUGCCUAGUAAGCGCAAGUCAUCAGCUUGCGUUGAUUACGUCCCUGCCCUUUGUACACACCGCCCGUCGCUCCUACCGAUUGAAUGGUCCGGUGAAGCGUUCGGACCGUGGCCUUUGGACGGUUCGCCGUCUGUUGGCUGCGGGAAGUUCGUUAAACCUUAUCAUUUAGAGGAAGGAGAAGUCGUAACA
rnacentral:rRNA from 1 species